GUGACAACCGGGUCGAAACCACGGUGCACGCGCUCCGCCUAACCGAGUACGUAAAGAAACUAUGAAAGUAGUGGUAUUUCAGCGGCGAUAUAAAAUCUCCCACUUAUGCUACACCUCUGAUGUCUCCUUACAAUGCCAGACUAGAGUCAAGCUCAAAAGGGUCUUCUUUCCCCGCUAAUUUUUCCAAGCCCGUUCCCUUGGCAGUGGUUCCGCUAGAAAGUAGAUAGGGACAGAAAGGAAAUCUCGUUAAUCCAUUCAUGCGCGUCACUAAUUAGAUGACGAGGCAUUUGGC